UGUUAUUGAGAAUACGGAAACAGAGUUUAUUGUCGCAACCUACGGAUAUAGUUGUAGUUGUUCUGAAAGUCACUUGUUGAUCGAUUUUCAUCAUUUAGUGCUUUCGUUUCCAUAUAAACAAAAAUAACUGGAACCUGCUAUUAACACUGAUUCAUAGAUUAACUGUCUGGAGGUCUCUUUUUUUUAAAAAGACUUUGCUUUGUGUUCUUUCACGCGACGACCUCUACGGAUCAUCUACUUAACCACAGGGAUAUUCUGCGGUUUCCGAAUAAAAAGAUGUAAUAGAAAAAAACCAACUGAUCCUGACAGUUAGCUAAACCACAAUGGAAAACAUCGAGGGAAAAAAGGCUGGGAAAAUGGAAGUUUCCACAGGGUCGUGCUCGGUGCCUUCAAUUCAGUCCUGUUCACCUGGGAGCAUCAGUUCAAGGUCAGAGAGGACGAAUGUUCCAAAGUAAACAAAGGAAAUGCACAAGUGUGUUAACAGACAGAUUCUUGGGGAAGGAACGAAGUUGGGUGAUAGAUUUCUUAUUGUGCCUAUUUUCGUAUUGAAGUUUUUAUUUUGGGAGAUUAAAACAAAUUAGCUUAAUGGUGCGUCUCUUCUUAUUGUGUAACAUCGGGACAAAUAUAUUGCCAUUGUCAAAUGGUUACAUAACCAUGAUUGGUUUGUAAAUUUAUUUUGCAUUCACUUGAAGAGAUUAUGUAAUUCAUUUGAAAGCAGAUGACGCUUUCUUAGUGACACAUGUUUGGUGAUCUCAAGGAUCCUAAUAACCAUCAAAACUGUAGAUAGAUGUGCUUUUUGCGGAUGCUGAGAUGAACACCUUACAAACUGCUAUGAUUUCACCGCAAUUCUUGCCUGUGACAAGAGUAUUCAGUUGAAGAAAAUUUUAGCAUGUGUUCGGAGUUACAAAGUUGCAUUGUAGCCCUAUUCUUUAAUUAUCCAUAUGAUAAUGAAGUUAAUACCAAGAAGAAUUAAAAAAACACUUCCUAUUUUUGACCAAAAAUUUAAUCUCUGAAAUGUUCGAGUUAACUUGACUCAGCUUAAAAAUGCAGAACAAAGACCUGAAGUCACCUCGUGGACUGAUAUCGUUUUUGUUUGGAAAUGAUUUGAACACACAUGAGCUCUUUGCAGAUAUCCACUCAAGUGUCAGUGAGAACGCCUUUCAAACUGCUAGGAUUUCACCGGAAGUCACGUCACACGUGUUCUCAGUUGAAGAAAAUUUAGCACGCUUUCGAAGUUACAAAGUUUCAUUGCAGCCCUAUUCUACAACUAUCGCCAUAACGACGAUGUAAUACCAAGAAGAAUUGGAAAAAAAAUACUGCUCAGUUCUGUGACAAAAGUUGUUCCCUGAAAUAUUCGAAUUAACCUA